UGGGGAAUAUUGGACAAUGGGCGAAAGCCUGAUCCAGCAAUGCCGCGUGAGUGAUGAAGGCCUUAGGGUUGUAAAGCUCUUUUACCCGGGAUGAUAAUGACAGUACCGGGAGAAUAAGCCCCGGCUAACUCCGUGCCAGCAGCCGCGGUAAUACGGAGGGGGCUAGCGUUGUUCGGAAUUACUGGGCGUAAAGCGCACGUAGGCGGCUUUGCAAGUUAGAGGUGAAAGCCCGGGGCUCAACCCCGGAAUUGCCUUUAAAACUGCAUCGCUAGAAUUGUGGAGAGGUAAGUGGAAUUCCGAGUGUAGAGGUGAAAUUCGUAGAUAUUCGGAAGAACACCAGUGGCGAAGGCGACUUACUGGACACAUAUUGACGCUGAGGUGCGAAAGCGUGGGGAGCAAACA
rnacentral:rRNA from 1 species